rnacentral:rRNA from 1 species
CCUACGGGUGGCAGCAGUGAGGAAUAUUGCACAAUGGCCGUAAGGCUGAACCAGCCAAGCCGCGUGUAGGAAGAAGGAUCUCUGGUUUGUAAACUUCUUUUAUAGGGGGGUAGAGGUAUCCAUGUAUGGCUCUUUGCAUGUACCCUAUGAAUAAACAUCGGCUAACUCCGCGCCAGCAGCCGCGGUAAUACGGAGGAUGCGAGCGUUAUCCGGAUUUAUUGGGUUUAAAGGGUGCGUAGGAUGUUUUGUAAGUCAGCGGUGAAAGUUUGAGGCUCAACCAUAAAAUUGCCGUUGAAACUGGAAGACUUGAGUGUGUUUGAGGUAGGCGGAAUGCGUGGUGUAGCGGUGAAAUGCAUAGAUAUCACGCAGAACUCCGAUGGCGAAGGCAGCUUACUAAGCCAUAACUGACACUGAAGCACGAAAGCGUGGGGAGCAAACAGGAUUAGAUACCCCUGUAGUC